AUUGAACGCUGGCGGCAGGCCUAACACAUGCAAGUCGAGCGGAUGAAGGGAGCUUUCUCCUGGAUUCAGCGGCGGACGGGUGUGUAAUGCCUAGGAAUCUGCCUGGUAGUGGGUUAUAACGUCCGUAAACGGGCGCUAAUACCGCAUACGUCCUGAGGGAGCAAGUUGUGGAUCUUCGGACCUCUCGCUAUCAUAUGAUCCUAGGUCCGCUUAGCUAGUUGGUGGGGUAAAGGCCUACCAAGGCGACGAUCCGUAAAUGGUCUGAGAGGAUGAUCAGUCACACUGGAACUGAGACAAGGUACAGAAGACUAAGGGAGGCAGCAGAGGGGAAUAGUGGACAAUGGGCGAAAGCAUGAUACAGACAUGCGGAGUGUGUGAAGAAGGACUGCGGAUUGUAAAGAACUUUAAGUUGGGAGGAAGGGAAGUAAGUUAAUACCUAGCUGUUUUGACGUUACCAACAGAAUAAGCACCGGCUAACUACGUG
rnacentral:rRNA from 1 species